CAGUCGCUGCGGUAAUACAGAGGGUGCGAGCGUUAAUCGGAUUUACUGGGCGUAAAGCGUGCGUAGGCGGCUUUUUAAGUCGGAUGUGAAAUCCCUGAGCUUAACUUAGGAAUUGCAUUCGAUACUGGGAAGCUAGAGUAUGGGAGAGGAUGGUAGAAUUCCAGGUGUAGCGGUGAAAUGCGUAGAGAUCUGGAGGAAUACCGAUGGCGAAGGCAGCCAUCUGGCCUAACACUGACGCUGAGGUACGAAAGCAUGGGGAGCAAACAGGAUUAGAUACCCCUGUAGUCCCUGUCUCUUAUAA
rnacentral:rRNA from 1 species